CAGUGAUGAGCCCCUUCUGGAGCUGGCAGGAGGCUGCUCCCGCCUCCUUGGUCUGUACUUGGCUGAAGGAAGUCCCACGUGGGAGGUAUGUGAAGACAGAGAGACGGUCUUGGAGUGCAGGGGGGAUGCAGCAGGACCCUGGCAGUUGUGGGGCAAGGUUCCCAAGGUCAUGCUUGUAUCUUAAUGGGUCCACAUCACAAGUAUUCAUCAUAUCCUGGGAGUGGCCUUUUGGGAGGCUUUUAA
rnacentral:lncRNA from 1 species